AGAAAGCUUCCACUUACGCAGUGCCCACUGCUCACAACCCCUCCGGCCCUCCCAGCCUUCGGCUGUUUCGCUUCCUCCACUCUCCCCAACGAAGCAUAAAGAUGUCAAAAUUCCAGUCUUGAGGAGCAAAAUGUCCAAGAAAGAAGCAUCCCUUGUCCAGUCAUAGGCUCAUAGCCCAUUUAUUUCCGCGGAAGACAAGGGAGCGAGGGGAUGAAGGGGCGCAAUGGUGGCAAGAUUAAGAUUGGUGUCUGCGUCAUGGAGAAGAAGGUGUCGUGUUCUCCCAUGGAGCAGAUUCUUGAGAGGCUGCGCGCGUUCGGGGAGUUCGAGAUUAUAAUUUUUGGUGACAAAGUCAUUCUUGAAGAUCCCAUUGAAAGUUGGCCUUUAUGUGAUUGUCUAAUCGCUUUUUACUCAGCUGGGUAUCCACUAGAAAAGGCAGAGAAAUACGCUGCUUUACGCAGGCCUUUUAUAGUCAAUGAAUUGGCCCCACAGUACCUCCUUCAUGACCGCAACAAAGUAUAUGAGCAACUUAAAUUGUUUGGAGUUCCUGUUCCAACCUAUGCGGUUGUCAGAAGAGAGUACCCUAAUCAAGAGCUAAACUACUUUGUUGAGCAAGACGAUUUUAUUGAGAUUCAUGGGAUACGGUUUUGCAAGCCUUUCGUGGAGAAACCCAUUGAUGAUGACUGGCGGCAGCUUGUUCACCCUCUCAACCCAGCAGGACUCGUUCCAGCAAAGAGGGAAGCUUUGAGUAGCUGUAUUAGAUGGAAAUUUAGGGUCCAAGGACCAGAGUGGAGGCAAAUUCGCCCUCCAGGAGAUGACCAUAAUAUAAUGAUAUACUAUCCUAGCUCAGCUGGAGGAGGAAUGAAAGAACUGUUCCGUAAGGUUGGCAAUAGAUCUAGUGAAUUUUAUCCAGAUGUGAGGAAGGUGAGGCGAGAUGGAUCCUAUAUUUAUGAGGAGUUCAUGCCUACAGGGGGAACAGAUGUCAAGGUUUAUACAGUUGGGCCAGGAUAUGCACAUGCUGAAGCGCGCAAGUCUCCAGUUGUGGAUGGGGUUGUCAUGAGAAAUUCUAAUGGAAAAGAGGUGCGCUAUCCUGUUCUAUUGACCCCUACGGAGAAACAAAUUGCAAGGAGCGUUUGCCAAGCCUUCAGACAAGCGGUGUGUGGCUUUGAUCUUCUAAGGUGUGACUUGGGGGAGGCAAGAUCCUAUGUAUGUGAUGUGAAUGGCUGGAGUUUCGUGAAAAGUUCAUACAAGUACUAUGAUGAUGCUGCAUGCAUUCUAAGGAAAAUGUUUCUUUAUGAGAAAGCUCCACAUAUUUCAUCUACCAUUCCUACUAGUCUUCCAUGGAAAAUCAGCGAGCCAGCCCAACCAUCAGUUGCUGUUAGAGGUCGUGAAAGGGGAACUGUUGGAAUAUCUAGACAAUCGGAAGAGUUGCGCUGUGUCAUAGCUGUUAUACGCCAUGGGGAUCGCACACCAAAGCAGAAGGUGAAACUGAAAGUAACUGAAGAAAAGCUUUUAAAAUUGAUGUUGAAAUACAAUGGUGGAAAGGCGCAUGCGGAGGCAAAGCUUAAAAGUGCCUUACAGCUGCAAGAUCUAUUAGAUGCAACAAGAAUCCUUGUUCCGUGUGCAAGAUCUGGUCGUGAAAGUGAUAGUGAUGCUGAAGUCGAGCAUGCAGAGAAACUCCGCCAAGUUAGAGCAGUUCUUGAAGAGGGUGGUCAUUUUUCAGGUAUUUACAGGAAGGUACAGCUGAAGCCAUCAAACUGGGUCCGUAUUCCUAAACAUAACGGAGAAGGGGAGGAGGAGCAUCCGGUUGAAGCCCUAAUGGUUCUUAAGUAUGGUGGUGUUCUAACUCAUGCAGGAAGGAAGCAGGCAGAAGAGUUGGGAAGAUACUUCAGAAAUCACAUGUAUCCAAGUGAAGGACCAGGAUUGCUUCGCCUCCACAGUACAUAUAGGCAUGAUCUGAAGAUAUACAGUUCAGAUGAAGGUCGAGUCCAGAUGUCUGCUGCGGCUUUUGCAAAAGGUCUUCUUGAUUUGGAGGGGGAGUUAACUCCAAUCCUGGUUUCACUUGUCAGUAAGGAUUCAUCUAUGCUAGAUGGACUUGAGGAUGGUACUUUUGAGAUAAAUAAAGCAAAGGCUCGGUUGCAUGACAUCAUCACAUCUUCAAAUGUUGCAAAUUGUAAUGAACAUGUGGAAUUCCCAUGGAUGGUUGAUGGAGUUGGAGUGCCAACAAAUGCUGCUCAGCUUCUCACAAAUUUGGCUGAGUUGAUAAAAGAAAUAACUGCCCAAGUAAAGUUGCUUUCCGAUGAUGAAGAUGAGAAGGCUGCAAUAAACAGUGAUUCACCAAAUCAUCCUUAUGAUGAAGCAAAGGCACUCGGGAAAGCAGAAAUUGAUAUGGGCCGUAUUUCUGCUGGAUUUCCUUGUGGCAGUGAAAGCUUUCUUUUGAUGUUUGCCCGUUGGAGGAAACUUGAGAGGGAUUUCUACAAUGAAAGAAAAAAGCGCUUUGAUACUACACAGAUUCCCGACAUAUAUGAUUCUUGCAAGUAUGACCUUCUUCAUAACCCACAUCUCAACCUUACUGGUAUAAGUGAUCUCUUCAAAGUUUCUCAGUUGCUAGCUGAUGGUGUCAUUCCAAAUGAAUAUGGAAUAAAUCCAAAGCAGAAACUCAAAAUUGGCUCAAAGAUAGCACACCGUUUAUUGGGAAAGAUUCUAAUUGACCUGCAUAACACGAGACGAGAAGUAACCUCAGCUACUGCUGAAUCUAACACAUAUCAUGAUCCAACAACAAUGUCAUCUGCAAAACGGAAGGAAAGGUGUUAUUAUGAGGAGGUUAGGAGUGAAUGUUUUGAAAGACCUAUCUCAAACAAGAAGUCAAUUGAUCUAGAUGAUUCCCACAAGGAAACAAAAUACUGCUUAGAUCCAAAAUAUGCCAAUGUGAUUGAACCUGAGCGACGUGUUCGAACAAGGCUCUACUUUACAUCGGAAUCACAUAUACACUCUCUAAUGAAUGUACUUCGAUAUUGCAACUUGGAUGAGACUCUGGAUGGAGAAGAGAGUCUUGUUUGUCAAAGUGCUCUAGAUCGGCUGUUUAGAACAAGGGAACUCGACUACAUGAGUUACAUUGUGUUGCGUAUGUUUGAAAAUACAGAGGUGUCUUUGGAAGACCCAAAGAGGUUCCGUGUAGAGAUGACAUUUAGUCGUGGUGCAGAUAUAAGCUCCUUAGAGAGUGAAGCCAAAGCAUCUUUGCUACCGGCUGACCACACAAUGCAAAUUAUGGAGCCAGAGAGAUUGCAGGAAGUCGGAUCAUAUAUGACCUUAGAAAAAUUUGAUAAAAUGACUCGUCCGUUUGCAAUGCCAGCUGAAGAUUUUCCACCAGCUACUCCUCCUCAAACUUUGUCAGUCCGUUUCUGCAAGGAUAUUGAAUUACAAGGAGGAAUAUUGUUUGAUUCUGUGUUGCAAUAUUGAUGUUGAUUAGAUGUGGAAGAAACCAAUCUGUGGGAAUAUUUGUAGGGCCUCCACAUUGCAUGGGACAUACAGAAAUUUAAUGCAGCAUAAGUCAGACAUGCUGAGUGGUAUGCCAAAAAGGAAGACCAAAAAGCUUCAAGAAUAGCAUAUGAAAGUUUGAGAGCACUCUGAAAUCCUGCACAUGGGUUGCUAGGGCUGCGCGAUCACGCCGCAGGAAGAAUAUCGACAAACAUAAGUGUGAAAGCUGGCGGAACAUUGCUAGGUUGAAAGUGUUGUAAGAGGUAGCUAUCCUAGUAUCGGGCGCGUAUGAUCGUUGUAACUAUCCCGGCCGUUGGUACGGCUUUGUAAACUGUUGGUUCUUUCCUUAAUUUUAAUGACAUGCAAUUCUCCUGCGUGUUCGAGAAAAAAAAAAAAAAAAGCUGGCGGAACAUGUUUUGCAGAUAGUUAUUUUGACGGACAGACUACAAAUGCUGGUUAGUUAUGUGACAAAUCAUUAUGUGGUACAUUGGCAGUGACAAUUCAAAGGAGAACUUCCAGAUUCUAUUGAUCUAUGGAACAGUAACUAUUUUUUGAA